AGAGCUCUGAGGUGCUGUGAGCGAGAAUACACAAGAGCAGCCUUCCCGGAAGCCGUGCAACUGAAAGCCGUUGCUAACUCAGCCCAUACAGCUGACGCAAAUUGUGAUG